rnacentral:rRNA from 1 species
GACGUAGGGCGCGAGCGUUGUCCGGAUUUAUUGGGCGUAAAGAGCUCGUAGGCGGCUUGUCGCGUCGACUGUGAAAUCCCGCGGCUCAACUGCGGGUCUGCAGUCGAUACGGGCAGGCUAGAGUUCGGUAGGGGAGACUGGAAUUCCUGAUGUAGCGGUGAAAUGCGCAGAUAUCAGGAGGAACACCGGUGGCGAAGGCGGAUCUCUGGGCCAUUACUGACGCUGAGGAGCGAAAAGCGUGGGGAGCGAACAGG